CUAUAAUCUGAGGUUUAAAGUGUUCCAACAUUAUAAAAAGGCUAUGGAAGUAAAAAGAAAUUUCUUUUUACCUUCUGGAAUUUUUACCGCAGAAAUGCAAGCAAGGAGAAGAGAAACCCACUGAGGAUUAAGGAUCUCUAUCCCAAGAGGCAAAAGCAUUCUGAAUGCUCAAUCAUAUCUACAGUUAAUGGACAAACACCGUUCAUUACCUGGUGAACAUACAAACUUCAGCAAUUUGGAAUGGGCCUCACUCUGUAGCCCAGGCUGGAGUGUAGUGGCACAAUCAUGGCUCACUGUAGCCUUGACCUCCUGGGCUCAGGAAAUCCUCCCACUUCAGCCUUUCAAAUAGCUGGGACCACAGAAAGAAAAGGAAGGCACAAGAUAGCCAACAAGACAUAGCCAGGAAAAGCCUCUCGCACCAAAUGAGGCUACAAUAUCAAGUAAACGAACACAUAUCCAACUCAUCUUUUGAAAAAAAAAUUGAGAGUUGAUAGAGAAGUGACACUGACAAUGAGGCUGAAGAGGGGGAACCUAAGAGCCCUGCAAGGGGUUGCUGUGUGCACCAGGACUCAUUCUUGGCCCUGAAUGACUCCUAAGGAAGUGGUGAGUUA